GGGCCCGCACAAGCAGUGGAGCAUGUGGUUUAAUUCGAUGCAACGCGAAGAACCUUACCAGGCCUUGACAUCCUCGGAACUUUCUAGAGAUAGAUUGGUGCCUUCGGGAACCGAGUGACAGGUGCUGCAUGGCUGUCGUCAGCUCGUGUCGUGAGAUGUUGGGUUAAGUCCCGUAACGAGCGCAACCCUUGUCCUUAUUUGCCAGCGAUUCGGUCGGGAACUAUAAGGGGACUGCCGGUGAUAAACCGGAGGAAGGUGAGGACGACGUCAAGUCAUCAUGGCCCUUACGAGUAGGGCUACACACGUGCUACAAUGGCUAGGACAGACGGCCGCAAACCCGCGAGGGGAGCCAAUCCGACAAACCUAGUCGUAGUCCGGAUCGGAGUCUGCAACUCGACUCCGUGAAGUCGGAAUUGCUAGUAAUCG
rnacentral:rRNA from 1 species